GGAGAGUUGGCUGAGUGGUCGAAAGCGCUCCCCUGCUAAGGGAGUAUGCGUUAAAAGCGUAUCGAGGGUUCGAAUCCCUCACUCUCCGCCA
rnacentral:tRNA from 1 species